AAUAAGUCUAACCCUAAUAGAAACACUCAGCCGCUUCAAAGAAACACUCAGCCGCUUCUCCUCUCCCUCUCAUCACUCGCCUCUCUCCUUCUCUCGAUUCAUCCAAGCACUUAGCGGUCAGAGGAACGAAUGGAGGAUCGUGUUCGAUGGUGAACGAAUGGAGGAUCGUGUUCGAUGGUGAACGAAUGGAGGAUCGAAACAGGGUCGUGUUCGAUGAAGAAAUUUCUUGUUCUCACUUCUCUCACUCACUCAUUCAUAGGUUUGUGAUUAUUGUUGUUGUUUACAGGUGAGUGAAGGAAUUUUUAAAUCUGCGGAUAGUGAAGGUGUUGGUGUCAUCAGUGCCAUUCAGAAAACACUUGAUUCUUCGCAAUCCUCGGGUACUUUGCAAAUUAAGCCAGUUAAUAUCCCUGAAUGUGGUAAUGAUUACCAAGACUAUACUCCUUGCACAGAUCCAAAGAGAUGGAGAAAAAAUGGUACCUAUAGGCUUACUUUGUUGGAACGACAUUGCCCUACGAUUUUUCGAGAGGAAGGAAUGCUUAGUUCCUCCUCCUGUUGGUUUUAAGCCUCCAAUUAGAUGGCCUAAGAGUAGAGAUGAAUGUUGGUACAGGUUGCUAGCUGGGGUGGUGACUUGUUGGAUCGUUGCGUUCUGACAAUUUCCCUUGCGUCGAGAGAUAACCAUGAAGCUCAGUUUCAAUUUGCUCUGGAGAAAGUUUCAAGUUCCAGAUCACAAAGAUGCUAGCAGUAGUAAC